GACGAACGCUGGCGGCGUGCUUAACACAUGCAAGUCGAGCGGUAAGGGCCCUUUCGGGGGUACACGAGCGGCGAACGGGUGAGUAACACGUGGGUGACCUGCCCUUAGCUCUGGGAUAAGCCUGGGAAACUGGGUCUAAUACCGGAUAUGACUCCAUGACGCACGUUGUGGGGUGGAAAGCCUUGUGCGGCUAGGGAUGGGCCCGCGGCCUAUCAGCUUGUUGGUGGGGUGAUGGCCUACCAAGGCGACGACGGGUAGCCGGCCUGAGAGGGCGACCGGCCACACUGGGACUGAGACACGGCCCAGACUCCUACGGGAGGCAGCAGUGGGGAAUCUUGCGCAAUGGGCGAAAGCCCUGACGCAGCGACGCCGCGUGGGGAUGACGGCCUCGGUUGU
rnacentral:rRNA from 1 species